UGGGGAGCUGAAGGGAAUGAGGCUGGCAAACAGAGCAGUCACCGCUUUGUCUCCAUCUCCUGACUCUGCCUUCCUGUGCUUAGUCUUCAUCUUCAGGUGGUCCCUUCCAGCCUGUGGGGAAGAAGUUCCGGCCACUGAAGGCCUGCUGUUCCAGCACUGGCCAGAGGCGGCACUGGUAGGCUGGGUAAACCACCAGAUCGAGGCAUGUGGGAGAUGCUGAACGGUCAAAGGCACACAGGACACCUUCCCUGCAGCCAGGUACUGAGCCUGAGGUACAUCAUUCCGUCCCUACCACCCUGUGAAGGAGAGACACAGCGAGAGAAGAAACACAAGCAGGGGG